rnacentral:rRNA from 1 species
GUCUUUUUGUUAAAAAUUUAAAGUCGGGCCUGCCCACUGAAAAUUUAAAUGGCCGUGGUAUUUUGACCGUGCUAAGGUAGCAUAAUCAUUAGUUUUUUAAUUGAAAGCUGGAAUGAAAGGUUUGAUAAAAAAGUAACUGUCUCUAUUUAAUUUUAUUAAAAAUUUAUUUUUAAGUUCAAAAGCUUAAUUUUUAUUAAAAGACGAGAAGACCCUAUAGAGUUUAAUAAUUUAAUAUAACUUGUAUUUUAGAAUUAAUUUAUUUAUUUUUUAGAAUUAUUUAAUUGGGGUGAUUGAAAAAUUUAAUUAACUUUUUUUAUAUUUUACCAUUAAUUUAUGAUAAUUUGAUCCAAUUUUUUUGAUUAUAAGAUAAAAUUACCUUAGGGAUAACAGCGUAAUUUUUUUAGAAAGUUCAAAUUAAAAGAAAAGAUUGCGACCUCGAUGUUGGAUUAAAAUUAAAUUUUGGUGUAGAAGCUAAAAAUUUUAAGUCUGUUCGACUUUUAAAAUUUUACA